AGAGUUUGAUCAUGGCUCAGAUUGAACGCUGGCGGCAGGCUUAACACAUGCAAGUCGAACGGUAACAGAACUAGCUUGCUAGUUGCUGACGAGUGGCGGACGGGUGAGUAACGCGUAGGAAUCUACCGAAUAGUGGGGGACAACAGUUGGAAACGGCUGCUAAUACCGCAUACGCCCUACGGGGGAAAGGAGGGGAUCUUCGGACCUUUCGCUAUUUGAUGAGCCUGCGUGAGAUUAGUUAGUUGGUGGGGUAAUGGCUCACCAAGGCGACGAUCUCUAGCUGGUCUGAGAGGAUGAUCAGCCACACUGGGACUGAGACACGGCCCAGACUCCUACGGGAGGCAGCAGUGGGGAAUAUUGCACAAUGGGGGAAACCCUGAUGCAGCCAUGCCGCGUGUGUGAAGAAGGCCUUCGGGUUGUAAAGCACUUUCAGUUGUGAGGAAAGGUUAAGGGUUAAUAACCCUUAG
rnacentral:rRNA from 1 species